rnacentral:lncRNA from 1 species
AUGUGUAAUAAAUUUAAAUCAGUUAUAUUAUCCUAUAAAAUUCAUGUACUUCCACAGGCUAGUCCGCUGCAGGUGGAGAAACUGAAAACAGCUCCUCAAGAAUACACUGAAUUGACUUCUCAUACACAUAACAACAUCUUAUGAGUGAAAUGAGUUAAUUUCACAGUCUUUUUCAUUGAAUCGGAUCAGUUCUCUACAUUGUUAAGACUCAGCCUACAACUAGCCAGUUGGUUUAACCCAAGUCUGAAAAUACCCGACCCAAACCUCAUUG